CCUACGGGUGGCAGCAGUGAGGAAUAUUGGUCAAUGGGCGCGAGCCUGAACCAGCCAAGUCGCGUGAGGGAAGACGGUCCUAUGGAUUGUAAACCUCUUUUGUCGGGGAGCAAACGACGCCACGCGUGGCGUUCCGAGAGUACCCGAAGAAAAAGCACCGGCUAACUCCGUGCCAGCAGCCGCGGUAAUACGGAGGAUGCGAGCGUUAUCCGGAUUUAUUGGGUUUAAAGGGUGCGCAGGCGGAAGAUCAAGUCAGCGGUAAAAUUGAGGGGCUCAACCUCUUCGAGCCGUUGAAACUGGUGUUCUUGAGUGAGCGAGAGGUAUGCGGAAUGCGUGGUGUAGCGGUGAAAUGCAUAGAUAUCACGCAGAACUCCGAUUGCGAAGGCAGCAUACCGGCGCUCAACUGACGCUCAUGCACGAAAGUGUGGGUAUCGAACAGGAUUAGAUACCCCAGUAGUC
rnacentral:rRNA from 1 species